AAAGUGGUGGACAGAGUAAAUGCAUAUAUUAUAAGGGGAAAGUGUGUGUCAAUUAGAUUGACACACACAAUGUCAUUUUAAGUCAAACGCUGCGUUUUACCAUGAAAUUUCUCCACAGCUCUGUGUGCGUCCUCUCUAUUUUUCUCUAGUCCACAUCUAAGUUAUUCAUUCUCCUUUCUCACUGAAAUCACCUUUCCCCACCAUUCUCAUCUUCAUUCUAAUCUCUGUUUAUCUUCAAGUUCCUUCCCACCCGUUGUGUACGCCAAAUAUGUCCUCCAUUAUUCCUAUCCCCUUUCACAUGCUUUCCCUUAGUUUUUAUUCUUUCACGAGAUCGGUGUAGGUGAAUCAAUUUUGGUUCGAUCUUCCCAUCGGGCUUGCGUUCAAAUCCAUGGUCAUCAGUUUACGAUGGACCCAUCUUCAGUGCGCACCACUCCUCCUAUUGAACAAGAAGAAGACGAUGGGGGCCACACGAAUUCCCUCCUCUGAUUGCCCCACCUACAUCUGUUAGGAGGGAGUCAGAAUUUGCACCAGCACCAUCGCCCCACCUCCAUUACCCACUUUGAUUUCUGCACUUGUGUUAUUACUUGUCAAGUUGAUGAUCCCUGUGGCAUUGUUAUCUUGUCAAUUUUGUGGUGGGUUUAGUUUUGUCCUGUUACUUUGUUUGUCAGAGGUGCUCCUAUGUAUUGUACUCGAUCCGAUUUUUGAAUUUGGAAAACUCUGGGAUUUCGGGUUUCAUCAUGAUCUUAGCCUUUUUUUUUUUUAAUUUGGUGCUUUACCGUGCUAUUUUGGAGUAAUUCUAGAUAUAAUCUGUUAUCAAUCAAUUAUUAUAGAAGCUCUAAGAAGUUGAUAAUGGCAUCUUUGGUACACUUGUAAUCAUGUAUGUGUCUCAACGUUUUUUUUUCUUUUCUUCAAUUCCAUUAGUUUGCUUCAAUCAGUGCGCACCACACUUUGUACUGUAAAAAACAAAACCUCAAAACAUGCUCUAAUUUGGUACAGAUGACAUUGAAAUAGAUGAGCCCGAAAUGGGAGGCUUCUACCUCAUCUCUUGAUGUUAAAAACAAACAGAAAGAUAAAAAAAUACAUGAUAGGGAAAAGUUACUUCAAGGUGGGACUAAUGAUGAAAUAAAACCAAGACUUAGAACACCUGAAGAAAUUAUAGCUACUUACAGAAAAACUGGGGUAAUACUAAGCAGUCUAUCCUUUAUGUCUUUUCGUUCGCUAUUGAUUUCAAUGAGGCUAAGAAGGAAGAGAACAUCUAUUUGGGGCUACAUGGAGCGCCUCCUUCACAAUCAAAACAUCAAGAUCUAAAUUCAUCCAACCGGAAGCAGCGGUUCAAGCAAAAACUGAAAUAAGCUGAUAAGAGAAAUAAUGGGACAGGAAGGGAAAACAAAUUGGAUAACUUGAAGCACUGCAAAUAAAGGAAUAUUGUUGAAGAAAUACAAGGGGUGGGAAAUACUAUAUGAACAACAAUUGUAAAGGAAGUUGUAUAUAUUCUUAUAGAAUCGUGAUAUGUAUAAGUUAAUUAUAUCAAUGUUAGUUUUGUAUUUGGGAUUGAAUGAUCCUUCAACCAAGAUUGAUGAAUGUUGAAGUAUAUAGAUCAAUUUU